AACACAAGUAACAGGAAGGUUUUAGACAGAGGGAAGGGAAGGUCAAAUUCACUUAAGCAAACAACCAAGGCAAAGAAAUGGAUUUAAACUUUACUUUAAGACAUGAGCUUUCCACAUAUGCUAAUAAAGGCGAUGCUCCAGUAGCGUAUGUUUCAAAGCUUAUAAUGAUGGGUGAUACAUAUUAAAGAGCAGGAAAGACUGAACUUAAAGGAAAGCCUGAAGUCCUAGAAACAUCCACAGAGGUAGAUUUGAUCCCCUUAUGACCCUCAAGUGAGUUAAAUGAGAAAUAAAGGAAGGAGAAAUGAUUCAUUAGAGAAGCCACCAUGAAAAGAAGACACUUUUAUUAUAAAAUAUCCAUACGAAGCUUGUAAAAGCCUUAGUUGCAAUAUAUGGAAAUUCCAAAUAAAUUAUAAAGAAGGAAUGUGAAAAA